rnacentral:rRNA from 1 species
CCUACGGGAGGCAGCAGUGGGGAAUAUUGGACAAUGGGGGCAACCCUGAUCCAGCAAUUCUGUGUGCACGAUGAAGGUCUUCGGAUUGUAAAGUGCUUUCAGCAGGGAAGAAAAAAAUGACGGUACCUGCAGAAGAAGCGACGGCUAAAUACGUGCCAGCAGCCGCGGUAAUACGUAUGUCGCGAGCGUUAUCCGGAAUUAUUGGGCAUAAAGGGCAUCUAGGCGGCCGGAUAAGUCUGGGGUGAAAACUUGCGGCUCAACCGCAAGCCUGCCCUGGAAACUAUGCGGCUAGAGUACUGGAGAGGUGGACGGAACUGCACGAGUAGAGGUGAAAUUCGUAGAUAUGUGCAGGAAUGCCGAUGAUGAAGAUAGUUCACUGGACGGUAACUGACGCUGAAGUGCGAAAGCUAGGGGAGCAAACAGGAUUAGAUACCCGAGUAGUC